rnacentral:rRNA from 1 species
ACGGAAGGCAGCAGUGGGGAAUAUUGCACAAUGGGCGCAAGCCUGAUGCAGCGACGCCGCGUGAGUGAAGAAGUAUUUCGGUAUGUAAAGCUCUAUCAGCAGGGAAGAAAAUGACGGUACCUGACUAAGAAGCCCCGGCUAACUACGUGCCAGCAGCCGCGGUAAUACGUAGGGGGCAAGCGUUAUCCGGAUUUACUGGGUGUAAAGGGAGCGUAGACGGUUCUGCAAGUCUGAUGUGAAAGGCAGGGGCUCAACUCCUGGACUGCAUUGGAAACUGUAGAACUAGAGUGCCGGAGAGGUAAGCGGAAUUCCUAGUGUAGCGGUGAAAUGCGUAGAUAUUAGGAGGAACACCAGUGGCGAAGGCGGCUUACUGGACGGUAACUGACGUUGAGGCUCGAAAGCGUGGGGAGCAAACAGGAUUAGAUACCCUGGUA